rnacentral:ncRNA from 1 species
UGCGGUUACAAAAAACACUGUUUUUUGAACGUUGGCUUUGCCAACGGCCCCGAUAGGGGUGAACAAGUUUGUAUGCAAACUUGUGAAUAAUUU